AAGCGGUGGAGCUAUGUGGUUUAAUUCGACGCAACGCGAAGAACCUUACCUGGGCUUGACAUCUGCGGAAUUUCUACGAAAGUAGGAAGUGCCUUCGGGAGCCGCAAGACAGGUGCUGCAUGGCUGUCGUCAGCUCGUGUCGUGAGAUGUUGGGUUAAGUCCCGCAACGAGCGCAACCCUUAUCUUUAGUUACCAUCAUUCAGUUGGGGACUCUAAAGACACUGCCCGGUCAACGGGGAGGAAGGUGGGGAUGACGUCAAGUCCUCAUGGCCCUUAUGUCCAGGGCUACACACGUGCUACAAUGGGCAGUACAAAGGGUAGCAAGCCUGCGAAGGUGAGCCAAUCCCAAAAAGCUGUUCGUAGUUCGGAUUGGAGUCUGCAACUCGGCUCCAUGAAGCUGGAAUCGCUAGUAAUCGCGUAUCAGCGUGACGCGGUGAAUACGUUCCCGGGCCUU
rnacentral:rRNA from 1 species